AUUUCCCAAGCAAUCUUAAAGAAUUCUAGCCGACCCGAUGUUUCUUUUUAGAAAUAAACGUCAUAUUCUCUUUAAGCUUUAUCUUCUUCUUCUUCAUCCAUUAGAAAAUGGAUGAUUUUAGGUUUUUUUUUUCACAUAUAAAAUCUUCUAUAUGCAUCUUCUUCUUCUUUUUGAUCCAAAAAAGUGGUUUCCAAUAUUUUGAGUUUCUUCUUUUAUUGAAUUGACGAAUUAAGAAACAAAGAGAGAUUAAACUGAAUAUUGUCAUGGGUAUUCAUUGAAUUGAAAGAAUGUAUAUUACAAUCUAUAUUAGGGAAGAUACCCCAAUGUGAAUAUAUACAAAGGGAACUCAAGGAGAACCCAAACUAACUAUCCUAUAAUAUAGGAAGUAGACUAACAAACAAUAUCCAAUAAAAUAUAACAUAAUUUACAUUAAGAAAUAGUCUCUUUUAUCUUUCAUUUUUCUUUUCGUUUUUUUGUGUUUCAAUUUGGUGUUAUUUUGUUCGUUUUCUUGGUACUACGUUGUUUGAUUUUCCAUUUUAAUGCAAUGUUUGUUUGGUUUAGAUCUAUAGAUAAACUUCAAUCAAUCACAAAAUUGUCAAUGUUGCAGAUCCAAGAUCAUGAAUAUUCAAUCACUUUGAAUUUGCCACAUUACUUGUAAACAUGUUGUCGCUACAUGCCAUUAACUCGAAUGUUGUUGACUUGUUUACAAAAUUCAUUUUUUACGUUUAAAUGAUGUUAUUUGUAUUUACAUUUGAUGUACUCUACCCAUUUGAACCAACAUCAUUUUUUAGUAAAUAAAUACCUUUGUGAUUUCCUCUUUACUUUCUUUGUCAAAGUCAAUUUUGUAAGAUACCGAAUAAUUUAUAACAUAUAACUUCAUAGGAUUAAGAUAAAAUAGCUUUUGUCUCUAUGAACAUGACU
rnacentral:lncRNA from 1 species